rnacentral:rRNA from 1 species
CCUCUUUUAGGGGUUGGAUGGUAGGGGAGCAUUGAUGUCUGCCAUGAAGGUGUAUCGCGAGGUAUGCUGGAGCGUCAUCAAGUGAGAAUGCUAGCAUGAGUAACGAGAGGAAGGUGAAAACCCUUCCCGCCAAAAGUCUAAGGGUUCCUCCGCAAUGCCAGUCAACGGAGGGUUAGUCGACCCUAAGGUGAGGCCGAAAGGCGUAGCCGAUGGAUAGCAGGUUAAUAUUCCUGCACUACCGUAAGAUCGUUCGACCAAUGGAGGGACGGAGACCGAUGAACUGAGCCCAUUAUGGAUUUGGGUCCAGAAGGCAAGUCAGUCCGUGUAGGAAAAUCCGCACGGGCGUUUAUACGAGCCGGUGGAUAGGCCCCUAAAAAGGCCGAUUCAGUCUCAUUGGACUUCCGAGAAAAGCUUCUAGGGAGAUCUUACGUGUAUUCGUACCGCAAUCCGACACAGGUAGACGGGUAGAGAAUACCAAGGUGAACGAGAGAAUCAUGGUUGAGGAACUAGGCAAAUUACGUCCGUAACUUAGGGAAAAGGACGCCCUGCGCGAGCAGGGGGCACAGAAAUGGCUCAAGCGACUGUUUAACAAAAACACAGGUCUCUGCUCAACUCGUAAGAGGAAGUAUAGGGGCCGACGCGUGCCCAGUGCCCGUAAGUUAAAUCUGGAGGUGAUUUCCAUCUUGUAUGGAAUGAGCUUUCGGUACAAGCUCGGGUGAACGGCAGCAGUAACUAUAACUGUUCUAUGGUAGCGUAAUCCCUUGCCGGGUAAGUUCCGGCCUGCACGAAACGCGUAACGACUUGAGCGCUCUCUUAAUCAUGAACUCGGUGAAAUUGAACUACCGGUGAAGAUGCCGGUUACUCGUUGUUGGACAAAAAGACCCCGUGGAGCUUCACUGCAGCUUGGCAUUGGUAAGUGAUGUCAACUGUGUAGCGUAGGAGGGAGUUUGGGCUUAAAACCCCAAACGUCAAUGAAACACCUCUCUGUUGAUAUUGUGAACCUAACUGUGUGCCGUAAUCCGGCAUGAGGACAAUGUCUGGCAGGCAGUUUAACUGGGGCGGUUUCCUGCUAAAGGGUAACGCAGGAGCUCAAAGGUUCCCUUGGUGCCGAUGGAAAUGGCACUGUAAGUGUAAAGACAUAUGGGAGCUUUACUGUGAGACCUACAAGUCGAGCAGUUACGAAAGUAGGACUUAGUGAUCUUCCGAGUGCUUAUUGGUAAGCCCGGAACUUAACGGAUAAAAGUUACCCCGGGGAUAACAGGCUGAUCUUGCCCGAGCGUCCACAGCGGCGGCAAGGUUUGGCACCUGAUGUCGUCUCGUCACAUCCUGGGGCUGAAGUAGGUCCCAAGGGUCCGGCUGUUCGCCGGUUAAAGUGGCGCGUUAGAUGGGUUCAGAGCGUCGUGAGACAGCUCGGUCUCUUUCCACAACGAGCGUUUGGGUUCUGAGGGAAUUUGUUCCUAGUACGAGAGGACCGGAAUGAACAAACCUCUGGUGUACCAGUUGUUCCGCCAGGAGCAUCGCUGGGUAGCUACGUUUGGUCGGGAUAAGCGCUGAAAGCAUCUAAGCACGAAGCCCAUCCCAAGAUAAGAACCCUUCCGCGCAAGCGGACGCACCUCCUGGGAGAUCACCAGGUUGAUAGGCCACAGGUGUACGCAUAGUAAUGUGUUUAGCCAAGUGGUACUAAUGGU